rfam:Burkholderia pseudomallei 7894 PMP6xxBPSxx7894-209, whole genome shotgun sequence.
UUCAAUGGUCGGGCCUUGGCGGGGGUGCCUUCGGGCACGCCGGUUUCCUUUUGCGCCGGUUCGCCAACCCUGUCAUGUGCCCGGCCACCCCA